UACGUAGGGGGCAAGCGUUGUCCGGAAUCAUUGGGCGUAAAGCGCGUGUAGGCGGUCCGGUAAGUCGGCUGUGAAAGUCCAGGGCUCAACCCUGGGAUGCCGGUCGAUACUGCCGGACUAGAGUUCGGAAGAGGCGAGUGGAAUUCCCGGUGUAGCGGUGAAAUGCGCAGAUAUCGGGAGGAACACCAAUGGCGAAGGCAGCUCGCUGGGACGUUACUGACGCUGAGACGCGAAAGCGGUGGGGAGCAAACAGGG
rnacentral:rRNA from 1 species